rnacentral:rRNA from 1 species
UACGGAGGGUCCGAGCGUUAAUCGGAAUUACUGGGCGUAAAGCGCGCGUAGGCGGAUAAUUAAGUCAGAUGUGAAAGCCCUGGGCUCAACCUAGGAACGGCAUUUGAUACUGGUUAUCUAGAGUAUGGUAGAGGUGAGUGGAAUUUCAGGUGUAGCGGUGAAAUGCGUAGAGAUCUGAAGGAACAUCAGUGGCGAAGGCGACUCACUGGGCCAUUACUGACACUGAGGUGCGAAAGCGUGGGUAGCAAACAGG